rnacentral:tRNA from 1 species
GCCAUCGUGGUGUAAUUGUCAGCACAUUCCACGCAUAUUCGAGAGGACCGAGGUUAGAGUCCCGGCGAGGGCA